rnacentral:tRNA from 1 species
GGAGGUUUAGCUCAGCUGGGAGAGCAUCUGCCUUACAAGCAGAGGGUCAGCGGUUCGGAUCCCGUUAACCUCCA